GUUAGAACGCUCGUAGUCGGAUUUCGGGGCGUUCCGACCGGUCUGCCGAUGGGUAUGCACUGGCCGGAGUGUCCUUUUUGCCGGAGACCGUGCCUACUCUUAACUGAGCGGGGGCGGGAGACGGCACUUUUACUUUGAAAAAAUCGGAGUGUUUCAAGCAGGCAGCUCGCUCUUGCAUGGAUUAGCAUGGGAUAAUGAAAUAGGACUUUGGUGCUAUUUUGUUGGUUUCGAACACCGAAGUAAUGAUGAGAAGGGACAGUCAGGGGCACUCGUAUUCCGCAGAGAGAGGUGAAAUUCUCAGACCCGCGGAAGACGAACCACUGCGAAAGCAUUUGCCAGGGAUGUUUUCACUGAUCAAGAACGAAAGUUAGGGGAUCGAAGAUGAUCAGAUACCGUCGUAGUCUUAACCAUAAACCAUGCCGACUAGGGAUUGGAGGAUGUUCACUGAUUGACUCCUUCAGCACCUUACGGGAAACUAAAGUCUUUGGGUUCCGGGGGGAGUAUGGUCGCAAGGCUGAAACUUAAAGGAAUUGACGGAAGGGCACCACCAGGUGUGGAGCCUGCGGCUUAAUUUGACUCAACACGGGGAAACUUACCAGGUCCAGACAUUGUGAGGAUUGACAGAUUGAGAGCUCUUUCAUGAUUUAAUGGGUGGUGGUGCAUGGCCGUUCUUAGUUGGUGGAGUGAUUUGUCUGGCUAAUUCCGUUAAC
rnacentral:rRNA from 1 species